rnacentral:misc_RNA from 1 species
GGCCAAUACAGUCAGCAGCAACUUAGUGCCAUUGUCAAAACAUUGAACAGACUUCUACUAAAGGAACCAGAUGUCAGAAAUAUGUUACUUUCACUGGGUUUGAUAACACCAAGUCCUGUAUGCAGAUUGUUGCAGCUAAUUCGACCAGGGACUGACAACUCGAAAGCAUCACGAAUUCAUUGAAUGUCAGUUCAGUUUGUAUGCCUACUUACUCUUCACAGAGCAUUCAGAAUGCAUCUUAACUUGGUACAUGAAAUUCAAGGGCCUUGAUGAAAUUGGAGUCAUUUCAAAGAAUAACAUUGCCUAUACGGUUCAAAUGAGCAUAAUAGAAGUUAAUUGAACUUUGAUUGAUUCUGCAUAUGGUAGGCGUUGAUGGUUGUGAUAGAACAAAAAACAAAGCAAGAUAUUCGCUUACAUUCAACAUUUGUUCAACUAAAACAAUUAGACUGAUAUGAGUUAUAAACAGAAGAAACAGAUUUGACCGGGCAAACGAGGAUUACCUAAUUUCUGUUAAUUAAAGGGAUAUUUAUGAAGCGAUGCCAACGAAAGCAGAUCCAGACACGUGGGGUAAAGGAAUAUGAAUGACAGACGCAAUAGCUGAAUAUCAAUAAACUGAUAUUAAAUACAAGUACUCCAAAAACUUUGAACAAUCAUAUAUCAGUUGAAAGCACUGAGAAAUCAAGGAGGGUGAAGGUGGAGUGCGCAGAAGUGUUUUAAAGACAAACAUGGGAACAAAGUGUAAAAUUGCAGUACUGGGGUCCCCCGCAGUUGGAAAGUCAGCACUAGUGGUUAGAUUCCUGACUAAGAGGUUCAUUUGGGAGUACGACCCUACUUUAGAGUUUACUUAUCCGUGUAGUUGCCAAGUUGACGAUGAGCCAGUUGCUAUGGAAAUACUUGAUACUGCCGGUCAGGUGGAAAGCAACCAAACUAAUUUUGAGGGCACCGUUAGAUGGGCAGACGCCUUCAUACUAGUCUUUAGUGUUACAGAUAGACAUACUUUCAAACAGAUCUCAAUACUAAAAAAUCAAAUAGACGAAAUAAAAAGGAGUAAAAAUGUUAGUUGUGUUAUCAUAGGCAACAAGAUUGACCUUGAGCACCAGAGACAAGUAGGAACAGCCGAAGCUGAGCGUAUGGCUGCAGAUUGUGCAACUGCUUAUUUUGAAACGUCAGCAUGUGACGGAUCUCCCGAAAUUGAUGAAGCGUUUCACGAAGUUUACCGUGAAGUUAAACGUAGACGAUAUCUCGAUAGUAGAGGAGGUCGAAGGCGUAGCUCAGCACAACAAGUUCGACACGUGUUGAAUAAUUUCCUAACAAAAAUACAUACGUGAUAAUUUAUGUAGGAUAUUGCAUUUCAUAGAAAUAUUAUAUGCAAUAUCAACUGCAAAUUCAGAUUCAAAUGUUUAAUUAAUUUUUGAGAAGUUAUAUUGCUUCACUUAGUGGAGAGGACGGGGGGCCGGGGGCAUAAACUUCCUUGAAAAGUGAACACUACCAACAAGGAUAUAAAGUGACUUCAGUUGCCUCAGUUCUGCCUCAGAAUGAAAUAAAAUGUCUUUCCGAACCUUGUUGGAACAAAAUAGCAUAUACAACAUAUUUUUAG